UAGCUCAGUGAUUAGGGCAUUCACCUGGGAUGUGGGAAACCUAGGUUCAAGUCCUGG
rnacentral:tRNA from 1 species